AAUAUAUGGUAUAAAGUACCUCCUUUCCAAAAAUGAGCUCAUUCCGACUUAAAAUGAGCAAGUUAUGAGUAUUUCAAUAUUUAGGUUUUUCUGACGAAAAACGCUAUAACCAGAGUUCUAUAACUCUGAUGACCAUGAAAUUUAAACUGGAAGUUCACGUUAACAUGUGUAAGAUCUUGCCAAGAUUUGAGAAUUUCUGGAGUUAAACUUGAGGUAGCUAAUUUCUUAAGGAAUUAAUUAGAAAUUAAUUUUUGAAAAAUACUUAAGGGAGUUGAAAAAUUAUAAAAAAAUACUUUUUAUGUAUGAAAUAUAUGUAUAUAUGUUUGGACAAAGGAUAGAAAAA
rnacentral:lncRNA from 1 species